GCUACUUUUACUUAAGUAAAGGAUCUGAAUACUUCUUCCACCACUGGCAUCAUGUGUACAUAAUGUCUGUGUGUUUGCGUAUGGGGGCUCUCUUGAAAUCCCUCCUCGAGACAGGCCAAGUUGAGGGUCUGUAAGCAUUUAUAGAGUCGUUAUAAUAAUAGAGUGGGUCACACCAAAAAACUCAACAGCAGCUCUGGGAUUUUCCAGCCCUCCACUCAGCCUGUGCCAAGACACUGUUUGGACAGAGAAGGCUGGAGAUAUUGAAUGCCUUGUCUAGUGUUACGCAGGGGAAUAGCCUAAUCCAGACUGGGCCCAUUCUUUCCCACAUGAAUGCUGUGUGUUUGUCUGUACUCAUGCAUGUUUGUGUGGAUGUGUGUGCGUCAAGAGGGGCCGGUAAGAGAAUCAAGAAACAGACAACAUCCUCCUGCUGCGCAGAGAGGGCCUGGAGAACAAUAAAGCCUGGCGAGUGAAGGAAGCACUCUGGCUGGAGGCCGGCGACUGGACAACGCUUAGCUUGUUUUGGGCCCUGAAACAAAUAAAUGACAGUUUCACAAGCUCGCACACACACGCAGAUGAAAACCUACGGAAAUCAAUACGGUUUGUUUAUAACAAAAGGAUUGCAUGAUGACAAAACAAAUUCAAGCUGUAAUCAAUCUGCAAGUCAACAUUUCAACACACACAUGAGAGCAUGCAGAGACAGAUUUGUAAGUGCACUAAAGGUUUUGAGCUCUAUUUGUUUUGCACACUCCACUCAUGAUCUGCUGUAAUAUUUUCCUCCUGAUGUUCAAACAGCAAUGUACAUCAAAAGAACAUGCCUAAAUGUAAUGGUUAUGUCACUCCAGGUUUUUUUCAUGUUCUCCUGUGACUCUUCCCUGUCUCCUCCUCCCCGCUUGUCUGUGCGUGUGUGUGUGUGUGUGUGUGUGUGUGUGUGUGUGCGUGUGUGCGCGCACUGUGGGCAUGGCUAUCUCUCCUGGCACCUGGUUUGGCUCCACACCUGACUCCAAUCAUCUCAUCAACUCUCAACUUAAAUACUCCAGCUCUGCAACCACUCGUCACCAGAUUGUUCCGUCCUACUCAGUGGUAGUGUGCUCUUGGCCGAACUGCUCGGAGUAUUGUGUAUAGUGUGCCUUCUUGUGUUUUUUUCCCUGUGGUUACUUGGAUCUUCUCUUUUGUUCCUCAGGACUCCGGUGCCAGCGUUGUCGCCCAACCAUCUCCUACACACCCCAUCUCAGCUCAUCUCCAGCCAUUCUCCAUUACAUCUUACUGCCUGCCCCUGCCGUCCUCAGCCCAGCGAAACCCCUCCAUCUUAUCCUCACUGAGUCAUUAAAACGUUUUACUUACUACCUCUGUCUCUGUGUCUGCUUCUGGGUUCGCCAAAAACAAAAUGUAACAGAACAAUCUGGCCAAAUAUGGCCAAAAUACCCAGCAGACACAGAAUUACUCUGCCAAGCCCUAGCCUGUCAAGGUGUGGUAGUUGGACAUCACGAGCAAGUUCUCCAUGAUAUCAUGGACACCUUGCACUCCCUCAACUCCAGUGUCUCUCAAGCGUACGUGUGGAUCAAUCAUCACAUGCCUCACUACCACCCCCGUCACAGUGGCCACUGCUGUUUCCACGGUCGCUCCACAUCCACCUGAAUUCCCUAUUUUUUUCUCCAGCCCAGCCGGUUCAACCUCGCCCAGGAGCCAUACUUGUCCAUUCCACAGCGGUAUUUAGGCUCCUGUGGGCGCUUUCUCCUCCAGUGCUCCAUUGUGUUUCAGAUAAGUCUCGUGUAGCUUUUAUUAUGAGUUUACAUUUCGGUAAAGCUUCUCAGUGGGCCUCAGCUUUAUGGGGAUGGGCAUCACCUAUUCGUCAAGUUUUUUUUCUGUGUUUGUAGCUGAAAUGAGAAUAAUAUUUGAUCACCCUGUUCAUGGCAGGGAGGCCACCACUAGACUUGCCUGCCUGCUUGCUGAGAGUGGGUGGGAUGAAGUUGCCUUACAAGGCAUAUUUAUUCGGGGGCUAUCUGAUAGUGUGAAGGAUGAGACUGAUAGUUUAGACUCUUUCUCUGUAUUUUCUCCUCCAUGAACGUCGUAGGGAAAAGUCAGGUCAUUCCACUCCCCCGUUCGAACCCAGAUCCACCCUCCGCAGUAGACCUGACAACCCUACUGUAUCAGCCCUGUCCCUCAGCUCCUCCCCUCUACUCCCCGCUGAAGAACCUAUGCAGCUUGGGAGAGCUCGCCUUACUCCCUCCGAGUGCCGUUUUGCAAAAGGGCUUGUGUGUUUACUGUGGAAAAGCUGGCCGCAUCCUUUCCACUUGCCCCAUCUGCCAAAAGAGCGGGCUCAUCAGUAAUUGGAGGGAUCCUGAUGAGCCAGACUUCCGUUUCACCUCCCGUCCCUCACCGCAGUUUGUGCAGUUUGAAACUUCUCUCCUCUCCCACAACAAAUCUAUCACCCUUGUGGACUCCGGUGCUGAUGACAGUUUUAGUGAUUCCUCCUUUGGCCCAAAAUGUUUUUCCUGUGGAAAAACUACCUGUGUCUAAUGUUAAUGCCUUGGAUGGAAGACUCUUGGCUCAGAUCACCUAUACUACAGUUCCCCUGAAUCUCGUCCUCUCUGGCAAUCGCUGAAGUAAUUGAGUAGUUUUCACUUACUUGUAUUUUUAACUGCAAGUCAAUAUUUUUAUUGCUAAAUUAUCUGUAUAUAUAAUUUUUUUUUCUGUUUAUUUCACACAUCCAAUGUUAACAUCUGUUUCCCAUGCCAAUUAAGCCUAAUUGAAUUAAGUUUCUUGUCAUUUCCUCACCUCAGGCCCUUGUAGUGUUAGGCCAGCCCUGGCUUAUCCGCCAUAACCCAUAUAGUCUGGUCCACUAGUUAUGUGGUUAGCUGGAGCACUUUUUGUCACUCUCACUGUCUCCAGUCUGCACUCACUCCCCCUCAGGGUGCUGCCACCCUCUCCUGAGUCCCCUGACUUCUCUACAGUUCAUCAGUUUACCAUGACUUAGAAGUGUUCAGUAAGCAAAGUGCUCAGACCUUGCUUCCCCAAAGACCUUACAACUGUGCUAUUGACUUGCUCCCUGGAGCCCCUUUCCAGUCGUUUGCACAACCACGUCACGUCCUGAGAGGGAGGCUAUGGAAAUAUAUCCAUGUCUCCCUAGCUAAUGGGCUAAUUCGUCCCUCUUCUCUUAGGGGUUGGAUACUGUUUUUUAUGGAAAAGAGAGUUCAUACCCUGUGGCCCUGUAUUGACAUCCGUGGCCUUAAUGACGUCACUGUGAAAAAUAAAUAUCCUCUCAGUGACUCUGCUUUUGAGCCCCUUCACCAGGCAACAGUGUUCUCCACAACGCCUACCACCUCAUCCGCAUCCGAGAUGGGAACAAAUGGAAAACUGCCUUCAACACUCUACUCGGCCAUUUUGAAUACCCGGUCAUGCCCUUUGGUCUCGCCAACGCCCCAGCAGUUUUUCAAGCCCUGGUCAAACGAUGUCCUCCGGGACAUGCUGAACAGAUUCAUCUUCUUCUAUUUGAAUAACAUACUCAUCUUCUCCUGGAACCAAGAGGAACACAUUCAACACGUCAGGUUGAACUCUUUGAAGGCUGAAAAAUGUGAAUUUCACAUCUCCUGUCAGUUUUCUGGGCUUCAUUAUUGAGCAGGGGCUGGUGAAGACAGACCCAGCCAAGGUGCAGGCUGUAGCAGUCUCGCCAACACCCACUUCCCGGAAACAGCUAUAACGGUUUCUGGGAUUCUCCAACUUCUACAGGAGGAUUAUCCAAGACUACAGCAAGGUGGCGGCCACUCCAUUCAUCUGGAUUCCUGAGAGAGACACAGCCUUUUCUAAAUUAAAACAACUUUUCUCAUCAGCCCCCGUAACUCACCCUAACCCUUUGUUACAGUUUGUGGUUGAGGUUGACACCUCAGAUACUGGCAUGGGGGCCGUCCUCUCCCUUAAGGAUCAUAAGCUUCAUCCCUGUGCUUGUUUCUCCUGGCACCUGGUUUGGCUCCACAACUGACGCCAAUCAUCUCAUCAACUCUCAGCUUAAAUCCUGGCUCCAGUUCCGUCCUACUCAGUGGAGUCCGGUGCCAUCGUCAUCGCCCAGCCAUCUCAGCUCAUCUCCAGCCAUUCUCCAUUACACCUGCCGUCCUCAGCCCAGCAAACCCCUCCCAUUUGAUCAUUGAUUCAUUUAAACCUUUUACUUACUACAACCUUUGUCUGCUUCUGGGUCUGCCAAAAACAAAACCGACAGGUUAGGGAAAUAGACCGAUGAUUAGGCAGGCUCUAACAGGAUGACUCUUUACUUUCAGUUCAAUCAUUGUUCAGUAAAGUGGUAAAAUCAAAAGAUGAUGGGCCUUCAAGCACUUUCUCAACUUAACUUGUGUCUGAACAAGUUAUGGUAAUAAAACAGUGUGCACUUGCACCAGGUCAUGUGUAGUGGUACUAUAUAUUCCUCGAGGCUGCUAACAACAAUUACACUGCACAGGAUGAGUCACAUACCUGUUAAAGGAUGGGUUCACACACAAGUUUAUCUUAAAAUAAAAAAACAUAACAAAUUAGAGCUAUGCUGUCAGAAAGCCAAAGAUAUUAGACAAAUGAUAAGUAACAAUGGAUACUGGACAAAAGGGAUCCUUUGUGGGCAGCUUAUAAUUUUCUGUUUGGCAGAAAACGAAAGGUGGGUAACUAUGUACUUGUCUCUCAGGCAAGUUUCAUGUCUAAAGUGAAAUUUUAUUAUAUGGUAAAAUUCAGAGAAUGCAGCAGGUGCCUGAAAGCCAGAAACAUGCAUAAAUCUUGAUAAAUUCAUAAAUCUAUUGUAAUAUGAUUAGAAAAAUGGUCACCAUGGUUCUCUUAAGUUCACCCGAUUUGCAUUAACUGGGCUACAGCAUGUCAAAACUACAGCAUUUCUGCACUUUGGCACAAAAUGGCACCAAAAGGGCAAGUGAUGGAAUUUUGAGGACUUCAUUAGCCACAAAUCCUGUAAGGUACAGCAAUGAGAGUAGGCUAAAUGUUAUUUUAUAAGUGUGUGCUGGGGUUGAGGUGAUGUAAAGGUGCAGCCAACUAAAGCUGCAACUAAAGUGCAUGUAUUUGUGUGUGUAUGUGUGUGUCAGCCAAACCUCCUACUGUAGCUUGUCUGGCCACAUCUCCAGUUAUAGCUCAAUAAACUGUGCUGUGGCCUUACUGUA